rnacentral:rRNA from 1 species
AACGAACGCUGGCGGCAUGCCUAACACAUGCAAGUCGAACGAGACCUCCGGGUCUAGUGGCGCACGGGUGCGUAACGCGUGGGAACCUGCCCUUAGGUUCGGAAUAACUCCCCGAAAGGGGUGCUAAUACCGGAUAAUGUCUUCGGACCAAAGAUUUAUCGCCUUUGGAUGGGCCCGCGUUGGAUUAGCUAGUUGGUAGGGUACAAGCCUACCAAGGCGAGGAUCCAUAGCUGGUCUGAGAGGAUGAUCAGCCACACUGGGACUGAGACACGGCCCAGACUGGUACGGGAGGCAGCAGUGGGGAAUAUUGGAGAAGGGGCGAAAGCCUGAUCCAGCAAUGCCGCGUGAGUGAUGAAGGGGUUAGGGUUGUAAAGCGCCCUUACCCGGGAUGAGAGUGACAGUACCGGGAGAAGAAGCACCGGCUAACUCCGUG